ACCGAAAUAAGUCCCCGCUCAAACAGCGACUACAUGCAGCAAACUAAAUACAGUUCCGGAUCCCUUUGCUGUGCUUUUACCAUGGGAUACUUUUAUAACGAUGAAACUGGAAGUGAAGCUGCUUGUUAUAAUAAAGCACCGCACAGCUGCUCCCUGAUCCGCACCGAGCCCCCGUAUCUCUCCGGACAGCAGAACGACCGAACCGAACCGCGCAGGAACGCCACACGAACAUGAACACGCUGGGAGUACUGGGAGCCGGGGCUGUGGUGGUUGCCGUGGCGACCGCAGUGCUUGCAGAAUUCCCUCUCCUCGCUGCCGCGGGAGUCGGAGCUGCGUGCGUCUGGGUCAUCAAGAAGUUUAUUGAGAAAAAAUAGCAGAAAGAUUAUUAAAAACUGAACCUGUGUAUAUCUGGGCUGACAGAGCAGGAGGGAAUGUACCCACGUAUCCGGUGAAAUAUCUUCACGCUGACACGGCUGUACUCAGUGUGAAGCGCUUCUUUUAAUUAAAGUCACACGUGUA